CUAGGUCAUCCAAUAUGAUGCUGAAUGGAAGAAAGAGAUGUUUUUGCAACCUUAUUGAGAGAAAAGAUUUGACAUUUCAACAUAAUCUCUAAAAAAGGAGGGACUGUGGAAUUAUACCAACUGGAAUUUGGAUCCCAGAAGUGCACUCACUAACCCACUAUGUGACAUUAGGAAAAUUAUAUAAACUCUCAUAGUCUGUGUUGUAAAGAGUAAAUAAAAUUAACUGCAUAAAAGUGGCCAGAACAGCAAGUGGGACUUAA